rnacentral:lncRNA from 1 species
UUGUUGCACUUUUUAUCUUUAGUUCUUUUUUUCUAUUGUAAUCGUCAAGAAGUACAGUUAAAAUCACACAAUAAAAAGGAAGGCACUUAAGUUUAUCCCCCUCCCCCCCCCCCAAAAAAUAAAACAUUUAAUGGAUUAUUUCCCAUUUUUAACUCUCAUAAAAACAGAUAUACAAUACAAAAUAUAUAAUAUAUUAAAAACAUUAGGGUUAUUGGCAGCCCUUAUUUCUCCUCAGACAGAAUUGUUUCACGUUGACGCUCCCCACCCCCCCACCCCAAAAAGGAGGUUCUGCAGUGGCUGGGCGCAGACACCUGCACAAUCUUAAAUUCUAUGUGGAAACUCAUAGGUGAAAGGUCAGUUUCUGCACAGAAAAUACAAUGUAAGCAGAGAACAUACAAAGAUGGAGGAAGUUGGAAUACGCAUGUGUCACAUGUAUCUAUAGGAUGUUUCAGAAGACAGUCUGGUCACAUGAUGGGGAUUCAAAUCAGUAACAUUUUGAUUUACCUCCAUGUACGUCGUGACCACUAGAGGAUUUGUUCUGGGGAGCCCAAAAUGCCCUGACACAUAAUUGAGCAGAAAGAAAAAUUCUUUCAUAAAACACUAUGGAGGCAUCGUUAAAUUUCUAUAAUACUUCAUGCAUGAUCACCUAUACAGAAGUAAUGCUGCCCAUUUUAAAAAGGGAAUAAACAGAAUUAAAGUUUAAAAAAAAAAAAAAUAGAAAAGGGUUUUGUAGGUUUUUAUUUCCUUGAAUGCCAAUGGAAGGAAUUUUCUGCUGCAACUGGCCUCUUAAGAGCACUUCCUAUACAUUCAAAACACACAAUAUGAAUGGCACUGUCUUUUAGACCACUAGUCCUGCAUGUAAAUGUUUACUUAUAAGUUAGACACGUUUAAACAUUCCAUCUUCCUUUUACAGUUAGAAGUAAAAUGGCCCAGGGAAUGAACAAGCCCAAUAGGCCUUCCUCCUGACUCCCGCUGUCAUCCAAACAGAAUACCCUCACCAGAAGUGUCCCUUUUGUUUUUUGUAGAGUGAGCUAGUGCAAUAAUGAGGUGCAUUGCCCCCUGCUGGAAUCUACAAUAUGUUACACAAAGCAACAACAGCACUCCAAGCUUGAAUGCAAUCAUUGCUUAAACAGCACUCGCCUCUGCUGGUGAAGAAUACAACUCAAAAAUUUUUUUUAUUUAAAUUCAUAUUUUCUAAUAUGUACUUUUUAGAUAUUUAUUCUGGUUAAUUUGCAAGAUACUGUUCAAUGCAGCAUGCAAGGAUCGGUUAUGUUCUGGGAAAUGUGAUUGAGAUCUAAUGCAGUUAGCUAGCAUGAGUUAUGGUUACAUUAAUAGGAAUACAUCAGUGGAGGUUUAUUAAUGCUUUGAAAGUUACAGUGCCACAUACAAUUGACAUUUAAGGACUGGGGUUCUUUGCGGAGUACUGAAAGUCUUCCUUCUCCAAUGAACAAACUAGGUCGUCCAGGUUCUUGUACUGUAUACCAGAUUGAUACAAGGUAUCUGAAUAGGAAGGGAGAGAUGUACAGAAUGUAGACUGAGAAGUGUGUUCUCUAGAAUGCAAAAAACACAAUUUUAAGUUAUAUGGCGAGACUGAAGUGGAACUGGAAAAUAUUACGCAAAAUUUUAGGAAGAAAACUUUUUGGUUGGUCUAAUUAAAAAAAAAUUUUUGUUAAUGAGGUUAGUUGUAGGACUGGCAAGAACAUUUAGAACUCAUUCCCACUUAAAGGAGUAUAAAUAUUGUAGAGUAUUAUCAUUCCCUUCAGGCUUUUUGCUGUAAACACAGUCUUUUCAGAGAAAAUGCAGUGUUUAGAUUACAGCCUAGGGAUACCUCCACUGACCACUCCUUAGUUGGCUACUAGAGGUGCUUCCUGGGGCCGUGCUGCACAGUGGAACUGACACUGAACUUUCCUCAGAGAUGCAUUGAUUUAAUGCAUGUCUAUGAGGAGAUUCUGAUUGGCCAUGGCUGUGUUUGACUUGUUCUGGCUCUGCCCCUGACCUGCCUCCUUGACAAGCUUAGCCAAAUCGAAUGCUUUCCAAAACACAGCAGUGGUCAAAGUUUUGCCAGUAUCCACAAUGGAACAGAAUUGGGAAAUAUUAACAUCCUGGACAGGUGGUGUGCCAGUGGUUCAGCUAUAAUCUACACUAAGAAACUAAAAGUAUCUUUGGGAUGUUGAUCAUUUAUAAAAAAAUAUUAUUGAAGAUACAACUCAAAAAGUAUUGUGGCAUUUUCAUCCAGUGGUGGUUGGACAUGAUAUGAAGUCUCAGGUUUUAUAUUGUCAGAAAUAGAGUUUAAAUGAGAGACGAUCAAAAAUGCCAAUACUUACUUUAAGGAUGACAAAUUUCAUAUCAACCUUCCGAUUAAAUUAGAUCUGUCCUACAAUGUGAUUCAAAAAAUAAAUAAAUUAAAAAACUAAAUAAAAUUACCAAUCAUUAGCAUUGUAGUUUGCGGUUCUAAUCUGCUCAGGAAAAGCCAUUAUGCCCAAUGUGCAUUUAAGAGCAGUGAUUGUGUGUUGCUGGUUUAUAUAGCUUUUCAAUGUGCAGCCUAUUGAAUAUUACAUUAAGAAUAUCCCAAAUAUGAUUGUUUCGUUCCUGGGCCGUUCUAGGUUUAUAACAUUUUGAGCAGAAGCAGUUUUGCUUAAGAACAACUCCAAUAAAUAUGUAGCGGGUCUGGUAUCCUCUGCAAGAUAUCACUGUGUGCCAGGACUGUGACAAAUGUUGUAUUUUACACAUAAAAUGGUCAAACACUCAUUUUGUUCAAUUCUUUAACCAAUUUUAUUUACGGUGUAGGUAUAUUUACAUGUUAGUUUCCCUGCUUCUAGUGCUUAAAAAUUCGCAAGGAUCUGUUAAACCUGGGUAAUACAGCGGACACCCUUAAAAAUGGCAACUUCUACACUUGGUAAAAAUUAAAAAACAAUUGAGAGUAUUCUGCAGUUCACAUAUUAAUAUAAUAUGCGCGGUCACCACAUUGGUAAACCUCACAUAACUUUGAACUUAUAUAUUUAUAUACAUUAUACAUAUUUAUAGAGUGACCAGACAUGUUAAGAGGACAGUUAUGAAAAAAACGCAUACGUCAUAGCAGCUUUAAAUCAAAACUAGGAUGUAGGGCAGUUUUUUCCUCCAGGGGGAACAGAAAUGUUAAAUCCAACACAGCUCCCUUGUGGAGCAAGUGUACACUGGUGGAUAGAAAGUCAUUGGAAUGUUCCCCCUUGUGGAACAAGUGCAAAAAAACGCUGGCCACGCUUGUUGGAUUUUAACAAUGAGCAUGCUCAGCCAGCAUUAUAGCUCCACAAGCCUCAACAGCAGAUAUGUCUUCCACCUCACAAGUUCAUUUCCCAUGAAAAUAGACAGAAAAUACUAAGCCCUUAACAAGGUCAGGGUACAGCCUUUAAAGUCACUGCACUUUGUAUUAUUAUAGAUUUUACACUUCUUUCAAGGGACCUUUCAAAUUGCAAAGGAAACUACAGAAAACCAAUCUGGUUUCACUUUACUGGUCCUUGAAAAAAGGUGGCUUACUAAAAUAAAAAAAAAAUAAUCUUUAUUCAACAGAAAACCCAAAAUACCCACACGAAAUCCCACAACACUGCAAAUUUCAGAGGAAAAAGGAGAAUAUGAAAUAUCAGCAAGAAACAGCAGAUUCUAAAUCAGUAAGAAAAAUCCUGCAAUGGUGUGACGGUUAUAGUUUUCAAACUAUUAAAACCUGAACCAAUACUUUUCUGUGUCAUACAAAGUUACCUGGCUUACAAAAGGCAUAAAAAAAAAAAUUAAAAUUAUAUAUAUAUAUAUAUAUA